ACCCCCUCCCUCUCAUUUCCAUACUAAUUCUUCAUAGAAACUCUGCGAGAAAAAUAUUUGGGCAUGCGCCAUCUUUGGAUAAAGCUUGUAAGCGCCACCUUAUCCUCUCUCUCAUUUAAAUUUGAACUCCUUCAAAUUCAAAUAGGGGCUAGCCCUAAUCCUCAUCCACAUGCGGAUAAGUCUCCUUUAAAAUCAAAUGGAGCUUUAUCCUCAUCUUAAUUUGAACUCAAAAUUAAAUGGGGAUGAAGCCCUUAUCCUCUCACCC
rnacentral:lncRNA from 1 species